rnacentral:lncRNA from 1 species
UUUCUUCUGAAUUUGCUUUUCUCGGUUUGGUGCUAACCUGGGAAGACUGCUUGAGAGAAAUGACCAUUUUGCAGAUGUGGAUAAAGAGUGUAAUGCCCGUGAUCUGAAGCUGAAUGUCCUGUUUCUAAGUGACCAUAAGCAGCCAAUGAGACCCCAGAGGACAAAAGUAGCAUUCCGUGUUGGCCAUCAACAAACAGAGGCACAGCAUCACCUGGACUUCUCCCAGUGUAAAUGCUGGUCCAAAAAAAAAAGAGGAACCCCAAUUGCAAACAGGACAGAAACAAAGAAGCCAUGGAUGUUUUUGACCGUCAAAGAUACCCACACAGUAUAAAUGCUUCCACUGGGAGGACUCCUAUUCCUCUUACCCCGGAACGAGUGAUGAUGACUCCUCCAGUUCUGGAAGUUAAGUCAACAGUUGAAAACAGGAAUAAUUAUGUUGAUCAAGACUAUGGAGAAGACGCAUUCACUGGGCAGAAGGGAUUAUGACAUAGUCACCCUUGUGGAAGAAAUUAUUAAAUGACAGCUUUAUUUUUCCAAUUCUAAGAUAAAUGACACUAAAGACUUUAUGACAGGGAGUGAUGUCAUUGUCAUAUGUAUCUUAUUUUCAGUAAUGCCAUCUUCCUGGAAUAGUAAUUGAAUAGAGAAUGUUUCCUUUACAUCAAAAAUAUGUGAUUUUUUUUUGUG